rnacentral:sRNA from 1 species
CUGUGAGGUGAUGUUGUCAUCCCUCCCUCUGGAAGGUAUAGAGAGACCCUGUUUUCUCAACUCUGGGGCAUAGAAAGUCCCCAGGAAGGUGUCACUCUGGGCAUGAAUGCCAUGACUCUGUCCUCUGGGCCCUCCCCACCCCCAGGGGCUUUUGCUGGCAGGGUCCGGAGGUCUCACAUUUCAGUCUGUUAACCACAAGCCAUCUCUCUCCCACCCAAGCCAAUGGCAGCCCCACCUCAGGCCUGAGCACUGGGGCCAUCGUGGGCAUCCUCAUCGUCAUCUUCGUCCUGCUGCUGGUGGUUGUGGACAUCACCUGCUACUUCCUGAACAAGUGUGGCCUGUUCAUGUGCAUUGCGGUCAACCUGUGUGGAAAAGCCGGGCCCGGGGCCAAGGGCAAGGACAUGGAGGAGGGCAAGGCCGCCUUCUCGAAAGAUGAGUCCAAGGAGCCCAUAGUGGAGGUUCGAACGGAGGAGGAGCGGACCCCAAACCAUGAUGGAGGGAAACACACAGAGCCCAACGAGACCACGCCACUGACGGAGCCCGAGAAGGGCCCUGUAGAA